GGAUUAGAUACCCUGGUAGUCCACGCUGUAAACGAUGGAUGCUCGAUGUGGCGGCCUUCUUGGCCGCCUUGUCUAAGCUAACGCGUUAAGCAUCCCACCUGGGGAGUACGAUCGCAAGGUUGAAACUCAAAGGAAUUGACGGGGGCCCGCACAAGCGGUGGAGCAUGUGGCUUAAUUCGAUGCAACGCGAAGAACCUUACCUAGGCUCGAACGCAACCGGACAGCCCCUGAAAGGGGGUCUCCUUCGGGCUGGUUGCGAGGUGCUGCAUGGCUGUCGUCAGCUCGUGCCG
rnacentral:rRNA from 1 species